rnacentral:rRNA from 1 species
UGUAAGCGUAUACCAAAGUUGUUGCAGUUAAUACGCUCGUAGUCGGAAUUUGGCAGUUCCGGAUGUGUGCACGUCGUGUGCGCACUUCGCGGGGAUUGCUUUUGUGGUCUUGCGUAGGAUGAGGCACUUUUAUUAGUGAACGUCCUCACGCAACCACUUUUUACUGUGAGAAAAUCAGAGUGCUCAAAGCAGGCAUUUGCCGUGAAUGUAUUAGCAUGGAAUAAUAGAAUAGGACUUGGUUCUAUUUUGUUGGUUUGUUGGGACUGAGUAAUGAUUAAGAGGGACAGUUGGGGGCAUUUGUAUUUCGGUGCUAGAGGUGAAAUUCUUAGAUUACCGAGAGACAAACUGCUGCGAAAGCGUCUGCCAAGGAUGUUUUCAUUGA